CUACUUUUGGUCUGAAUUCCAGAUCUGUCUCUCGUCUCCUCCGCCUGUGAGAAAGAAAUCGAUUUUCUGAGGAAGAAAGAUUUGAUACGACCAUUGCCUGAGGAGAAUAUCCAGCUUCAUUCAUUGACAAAGUCCCAAAUCAAUUCAAUUGAAUUCAAUCAAAUCAUUGAACUCAGGCUGAGAUACAGAUGUUGUCGAAAAAACAUCGUCCGUGUGUGGAAUUGCUACCCCACGAUAUGUGGUAGAGCUCAUCCUCGAGAGACUUCCCAUCCAGGUUCUCCUUGUAUACAGGUCCGUAUCCAAGGAGUGGAAAUCGACAAUCGAUUCUCGACAAUUCAAGGAACGACGUCUGGACCACUGUAGGCAGUCACGAGGUGUCUAUGUCCUUUUCAUGUGUGUCAAUGGUGAAAAUACCAUGAAACUAAGGGAUUAUCAAUCAUUUAAGUUCGGGUCAUCAAUAGCUUGGACGGUAAGGUUCCCGUAUUUGGGCCCCUUGUUCUGCUAUGGCAGUUGCGACGGUAUGCUAUGCCUCUACAGUAUCCACAAUCCAAGUUACGUGGUGAAUCCCGCAACUGGAUGGUAUCAGAGUUUUCCUCUUAGCAGCUAUCAACAGCUCCACAUCCCUUUGUUCGAUAGAAUAAAGGUCAACUUCCCAAGUGCUAAGCUUGGACUCGGUAGAGACAAAGUAACCGGCACGUACAAGCCGGUUUGGUUAUAUACUUCAUCCAUAUUUGGCCUAGACAAUGCUACUACUACGUGUGAGCUUUUCGAUUUUACCACCAAUGCUUGGAGGUACGUUGUCCCUGCUUCUUCUUAUGAGAUCAACGCUUAUCAUAAACCGGUGUAUAUAGAUGGGUCACUUUAUUGGUUCACCAACUGUGAAGAACCCACCCAAGUUACUAUGUUUCGAUCUUCACACCGAAACUUUCCAAGUCAUCUGUAAAACUCCCUUUACGCAUCCAUGUGACCCUCGUCAGCUCACCAUGUGCAUCCUCAAUGAUCACUUGUGCUGUCUCUGAGAAAAAAUGGCCCACUCAAGUCAUAUGGUCGUUCAAUUCUUCAGGCAAAACUUGGAACCUAAUGUGUUCCAUAGAUCUCACCCAAACUUUUUCUUGGUUUGGGGUACCCAUGUUCGCCCUCUCACCGAUUGCAAUUAUGGACAACGGUAAGUUAUUGCUUCAAGGUCGUGAUACCUCCCACCCACUGGUGAUACAUGACCUCCAUACCAAAUCCUACGAGCUUCUCUUUACACCUACCAGACCUGUAGGUUCUGUAUAUCAUGUUGAGAGUUUAUUCUCUGCUUUGUCGAACUAACCUCUCACCAAUGGAAAUUAUUGACAACGGUACCUUAUUGCUUCAAGGUCGUGAUACCCCUCGCACGCACUAGUGAUACAUGAUCUUCGUACCAAAUCCUACGAUUUUCUUUUUUUUGGUACGGUUGUAAGCAUAAACGAUGAUUUGAUUAGUGUCAUGAAUGGUUUGCAGUUUUCAAUUGGUUUUGGGUUUUUAGCAGUGCCGGUUUAAACAUAUUACAUGCCCCUGGGCAAACUAAAAAAAAUGUCCCUUAAUCUAUAGAAAAAUUUACUGUUUUCUUUUA